rnacentral:lncRNA from 1 species
AGGUACCCCGACUGAUGUAAAGUAAGCAUAAUUUCAAACAAAAUAAGACAAAGCAUUGAGGUGGUUCUGACUGUUAUCCUCUUUUGACAGGUAAAGGCCCACGCCUUUCAGUUGUAAGACCCCCGAAACUGGGGAGACCUCAGCUCAAGUCCCGGGAUGAGCUGGCCAGCACCCCAAUGACUGGAGAGAAAACCACACCUGAUGCAAACUGCAAGAGGUUUUAUUAUCAGCUAGUAGAGGACGAACUCCUUUCACCAUGCAGGGCAGGGGAGUUCGACCCCCAGCGAUGAUAACGCCGAAUCACCAGACAGACCUAGUGAAGUUUGGGGUAAUUUACUCUUUUUUUUUUCUUUCAGUUUAAUUUUUGGGUUUAAAAAGAGGCUGUAUCCAUCUCCUUUGUUGAUGUGUCAUCAUGAUCCAAUAGAUCAGAAAUAACUGUAAAACUACUCAAAGAGAAGUAUCCAUCUAAAAUCUCUUACUAUCAUGAGCUGGGUGAUUGUGGCUUUAAUCCCAGCCCUCGGGAGGCAGAGAUAGGCAGAUCUCUGUGGGUUCAAGGCUAGCUAGCCCAGUCUACUGACUGAGUUCUGGGACAGCCAGAGUUACUUGGAGAAACCCUUGAAAAAUGCAACAGAUACUUUUGAUACUAAGGAAGCCAGCACGGGCUUUGAUAUGCUGAUAGACACCACAAGGAGGUCAUGUGUUCCUUCAGUCAGGGAUAAAGAUGUGACUCCUUUUGGUAGAUGGGAGCCAGUUUCUUAAGAUUCUGAGAAGUUCUGAUUUUAUCUAACUGUCAGAAAUCCUCCUCUAGUUCAGGCUAAGCUCAUUAGACUGCUUUUUGGAGUCUGAGACAGUACCAUGACUAUUUACAUACUCAAUCAUUUUCUUCCAAAUUUUAUCCUUGAGCCUACUUGAAUUUCUAGUUUCUUACUCUUGAAUUGCUGAACAGGUUUUGGUUCCCAUAACUGUCUUGUUAAUGAUAUCAUAUGUCCAUAUGUAGUUGAAACACCAUGAUAUAGAGCCAGGUGUGGUGGCAUACAUCUGUAAUCUCGGCACUUGGGAAACUGGGGCAAGAAAACUGCCUUGAGUUUGAGGCAAACCUGAACGAUAGAGUGAGUUCCAAGGCAGCCUAUCUUAUAGAAUGAGAUCUGACAUCAAAAAUAACAAUAAUGAUAUAGUUGUGCCUGGACUACACUUGAGAGAUUGUUUGCCACAACUCAUUAGGCCUUGGAUCCAUCCACCACAUCACCAAGUGUGGGGGAGCAUACUUGUACUAACCGCCCUUGGCAGGUGGAAAGAGGGAUCAGAAGUUCAAAGCCAUCCUUGCUAUGUAGUCGAAGAAAGGCCAUCUUGAGCUGCAUGAGACUGUUAGGUCUCAUAUACCCAGAAAUGAGCUCAAGCUGGACUACAGAAGGAUUUCUGAUGGUUAGGGGUUAGAUAAAAGCCAGCAUCCUUGAGGAACUUGGGAAACAGGUUUCCAUCUGCUGAAAGGAGUCAUUUCCCAUGUGACAGAAGGACCCAAGGUUACAGAGGAAGGGUCAAGAGAUCUUCAACCCUGAUACCUCCAUCAUGAGGAUGCCAGGUGUUUGGAUCCCUCCCCCUCCCAACCUGGAGCCAUAAAGUCGGCUCUCUUCCACCAUCCACCCUGCCGAGAGUUUAUUACCCUGCCUGGUUAUCAGAUCUUACUCCUUGUUUGAUCUUAUAAGGCUUUAUCUCCCAGACCCUACAGCUCCUGAGUAUGCAGAUGAAGUAUCUUCCUACACCCUUGCCCCAGCCACACAAACCUUGUCCCAGAGACCCUGGCCACCUUCCCAGGGGCAUAAGCCCCCUUCUCCCCCAUGAACUGAGCCAGUUCUCUGAGGCUGUUCCCAGAUUUGUUCUGUGCCCUUGCACCGUCCAACCAAG